GCCUGGGUGGCUCAGUCGGUUGAGCAUCCGACUUCAACUCAGGUCACGAUCUCGCGGUCCGUGAGUUCAAGCCCCGCGUCGGGCU
rnacentral:tRNA from 1 species